rnacentral:rRNA from 1 species
UACGGGGGGGCAAGCGUUGUUCGGAAUUACUGGGCGUAAAGGGCGCGUAGGCGGUUCGCUAAGUUGAAUGUGAAAACUCUGGGCUUAACCCAGAGCCUGCAUCCAAAACUGGCGAACUGGAGUACUGGAGGGGAAAGCGGAAUUCCUGGUGUAGCGGUGAAAUGCGUAGAUAUCAGGAGGAACACCGGUGGCGAAGGCGCUUUCUGGACAGUAACUGACGCUGAGGCGCGAAAGCCGGGGGAGCAAACAGG